UACGUAGGGGGCGAGCGUUGUCCGGAGUUACUGGGCGUAAAGCGCUUGUAGGCGGUCCACCAAGUUUGGGGUGACAGUUGCCGACUUAAUCGGCAAAGUGUCUCAAAGACUGGCGGACUUGAGGGCCACAGAGGGACAUGGAACUCCAGGUGUAGUGGUGAAAUGCGUAGAUAUCUGGAAGAACACCAAAGGCGAAGGCAGUGUCCUGGGUGGUCGCUGACGCUGAGAGGCGAAAGCCAGGGGAGCGAACGGG
rnacentral:rRNA from 1 species